UACAGGCAGAAGUUUUAUGAAAACAAUCAGCGGCGGCAACUGAGCUCGACGAAGGGGUGCUUCUCGCAGGUCGGAGGCGGUUAUUUAAAACGAGAGCUUUGCGGGCGUCAGCCCAUUGUGCGGGGCCUUUCAGCGGCGGCAAUUAAACUCAACGAACUAAAUAAAAAUACAGAAGGGAUAAGCAGAGUGGCCAUUGGCGGGAGUAGAAGCGGCAGGCUUUGCCUCAUUCUGGCUUCGGCGAGGCGAGUGGGUAUGAAUGAAUUCUGUCACCGCUGCCGUUGCUGGAAACCAGUUUUCAGCUUCCAACCUGAGAGAGGUCGAUUGCCGAGAGCUGGGAGUCAGGUCAGAACGUGGCUCAUCGAUUGCGUCUUCGAGAUGCUCGAGGGAAACCGUAAUUAGCAUAGCCGCAGCACGAAUUCGUGCCAGAGCUGAAGCGGAAUGAGAGCAGUGCAUGCUAAGCACAAGGUUAUUAAUAAUCAAAUGGAGAAAGCCCGUGUAGGUAUGGAGAGAGCCCACAUAGAGUCUACAUUAGGAGCUUCUAAUCCUCAACGAAGGUGAAUGAAGCAGCAGCUGAUUUAGACAGCGGUGAGUCUACAACUGAUAUAAGUCAUGUUUUGUCAUCCCAUCAGCCAGUGCAUCUUAGUAAAGAAUGUGUCCAAAAGCAUUUUGGCUAUAGAAAAAAAGGUCGAACUCUGCAAGGAGAGACUGUCCACACCACACAGCCAACAUGCCCUUCAUGAGGUCCGGGUAUCGACAGUAAAAGCCUACAGCAGCAAUACCCUUCUGCAGUUCCAUCAGAGCAAAUGCCUCAGCCAAGAGUCGCUGCUGAUGCCAACCCCAUCUGCACAGACGGGGACAGACUGACCUUCCGUCCAUUCCAGCACACGCAUUUGGUAAGCGACAGGUGUAUCGGAUUUGGCUCCUCGAGACCUGGAUCACGGCAGCACUGAGAGUGUCCUGCAAUCAGUCUGCCGCAUAUCCGUCCUGGAAGUCAAGCUCUCGCAAUGCCAUGGAAGGUCUCUAAGUCUCAAACGUAGUGCGGAGCUGGACCUUCUCUGUAAGCGGCUUAGUGGGGAGUCACUGCAACCUGCACGAAGGGUUAGAGCAGUUCAGCUGGGGGUUUCCAAUACGGUGGCAGUUACACAUGCUAUGGCUCUGUGGUGAACUACAUAUACCUGUCUGGACAGGCCCCCCCCCCCCCCGCUGACUGCUCCUGUGGCUCCUCCCACUGACCCCUGUAUAAAGGCGAUUGGAGACAGAGCCCCGGCCUCUCAGUCUCCAGGAUGUAGUAUGGUAGUCACUCACUGCUGGUUCCUUCUUCCAGUCAAUAAAAGCCUAUAUCUCGCCUCACGUCUCCGAGAGUUAUUGACGGUGCGUCAGGCUCUCCAGAGGCAAUUGAAGAAGCUCUCUUCAGUAGACUCGAUAUUUUUCCAAAGAACCUCAGAAGCUCUCGGAGCUUGUAGACCUGUUGUUGGAACUGCAAGCCACGAGAAAACCAGGGUUACCUACAAGGACUGAGUUUCUUGGAAACAGCAAGAGGAAUAAACCUUACAGAGGGAAAAUUACCAAACAGUAUGCAUGAACAGUGGAUGAUCGAAAGGUUCAGGGAGAAAACAUGGCAUCAUGCCUGAUGUUCUAUCAAUAACUCUAGGAGACUGGAAGUAGAGUAAAUAGCGAUAGGCUUUUAUUAACAGUGAAAAUGGAGCACGACCGUGUUGGAUGACUGUGGGAGGAGCAGUGCCCCAUAGGGGUACCUUUAUCCAGGGGACUGUGGGAGGAGCCGCAGGAACAGUCAGCAGAAGGACAUGUCCAGACAGGUAGACAUGGUUUACCACACCCCCACCUGCCAUUUUCAUUCUUCGUGGAAUUGCCUGCCACCACACUAAAAUGGAAAAUGACUCCAGCUUUCUGCUCUCAACUCCUGUUAGCCUGCCAUUCAAAGAGAGGUGUUCAGCAAAAAUGUGGAAAAUCAGAGCCCCUAUCAUGGCUAACAAACCUUAAUUAGAAAGCUCAUGAGCUCUGAUGGACAAUACCCUGUCCAAAUGCAGAAGGUACAGAGGAAAGCUGUUUGCAGACUGGAGACGUAAUCUAAAGUAGCACUCAAUAUGUUUCAAAUGUUGUGCUUCAGCAGCACACCAAGGAAAAGACUGGAAAGCUGUCAUCCACUGCACUGAGUGUGACAGCGACAGCACAGACCAGCAGUUCAGUCAGCAACUACUACUGGUCCCACAGCAGAGCACGGCGGGGAGCCAGGUGUGAUUCCAUCAGAUGUUCAGUAGAUACUUUCUCAUCCAGAUGUAAGUGGGAAAGGCUUUCAAGGCAAAUCCUGCUCAAAGGUAUGUCUAGUCAAAGUCUAAUUGAAAGGAUGCCAUGAGCAUUUGUGGUAUUGGACGAUCAGAGCAAUGUGUCAUCGGCAAAAUCACCAGUCUUUGACAUAUUCAGUGUUCAAAGUCCCGUUUCCCUGUACACUCUAAAGGCAUGUUCAGGAACAUCAGAAGCUGCCAGAAGAAGAGCCAGUGGAUUUGUGUGGAGUCAUGGAAGGGGCUCAGUUUACCCUUGCCAGCCCUCACUGAGCGUGACAACACUUACAACAACAGGGACAAAAUCCCAACCCCUGGUGCUGCUUGCGAUCAUUCACAUCUGAAGCUACAGCUGACAAGAUUCCCCCACUGGACUCUGCUGUUGGGAUUCUCCUGACUAGCAGAGACACCACCCAUGCACAUGAGGUACGUGAACAGAGCAAUGGUUGGCACGAUGUACCUUAUCCCCAAUGACAGGACCUGGGUUGGGUCAUAGUGGGUGAAAUCUGUUUCAGUGGUGCUCAUCAUCCCACUCAGUACAUUUAAGGCUAAUGUCCUGGGGAAUGGGUGCCCACGUUAUUUAUGAACCUGUGAGACUGGAAUCUGUAUGAAAGAGAAAACUGUAGAGAGGUAAGCCAAGCACCCUGACAUAGCCCAGCCAGAGCUAGGCAAGCUGGUCUUCUGUCAGUCAGAAGACAAAUAUAAGCUGGCACCUUUCAUGGAAGGUGAGGUCUUCCUUCGAAUCAUGAACAAAGAGUUUAGCAAAGACAAUUCCAAAAGAUGAGUCACCUUUCUUUUCUCCAGUCCUGCUGAAGGGUCUCAGCCCGAAACUUCGACUGUACCCUUUUUCCUAGAUGCUGCCUGCUCUGGCUGAGUUCCUCCAGCAUUUUGUGUGCGUUGGUUAGUCAAAUAGUUGGGUAGUUCCCCUUUCCCUACCGAUCUCCACGACAGCUCCGACCAAACAGCACAGAGCAGUUCCUUAGUUUACCCUGGUCCCUCAAUCACACAUUGAGAAGGAAACCAGAAAUGAAAGAUCUUUACAUGGAAUUUAUGGAUCAAUCAUGAGCUAGCUCCUCCGCCAGGUCCCAACAAAGAAAACUGGUAUCUGCCCAACCUUGGUGUUUACCACCCCCCAGAAACCUGCACAAAUACAAAUUGUCUUUGAUUUAAAUGUGCAUUUCAAAGUGCAACAUGCUCUUGCCGAGUCCAGACCUCAAUAACGGUCUGCUCGGGGUCCUCAUGUGCUUCCAAACUGAGUCAAUGUCUGUAGUGGUGGCAGACUUUGGCCUGUUCCACUGCUUCCUAGUGAGAGAGGAUCAUCAGGACUACCUCAGAUACUUGCAGAUUUGUGACCACCAACUGGACAAUGAGAGUACCGCAUGGGAGUUCAUGCAUUUAGUAACUGUCCCUCUCCAGCUGUGGCAAUCUAUGGUCCUAAGAGGACAACUAUCAAGGGAAAGAAAGAAUUCAGGACUGAGGCGUGGAGGUACAUAGAAAGGCAAUUCUAUAUUGAUGAUGGUCUUCAAUUAUGUUCCCUAGUAGAAGAAGCCGUCAUUGUGCUGAAAUCAGUGCAAGACAAGUUGCCGCAUUCUAAUCCCAGACUGUAGAAGAUCACAUCCAACAAUGUGGAGGUCAUGCAGUGUUUCCCAUCUGAAGAUCUUGCCGAAGGUCGAAGGAAUCUUGAUCUUGGACAGGACUUCCUUCCUAUGCAGUGCACUCUAGACCUUCGAUGGAACCUUGUUACCAAGACCCUUACUGCCCAGGUUGAUACUGGAAGACCCUUCACAUGUCGUGGUGUGCUGUUGACUGUCAACAGACUAUUUGAUCCUCUUGGAUUUGCUGCUCCAUUUGGUAUCCAUGAAGGCUUCACGCUACAAGAGUUGACCCCAGAUACUUGCAGAUGGGAUGUCCUACUCCCUAAUGAGAACUAUGAGCAGAGGCAGCAGUGGUGAUCUUCCCUUUAGGAUCUUCGUGGACAAAGUAAAGCUCCCAAACGAGAUGGCACCUUACCAAGGCUUGAAAUCAGCGCUGCUGUUCUAGCAGUUGAGAUGGCCGAGAUGAUAAUUGAAAGUGCUGGAUUCAGGGCCAACAGCGAGGUUGUAUUCACUUAUACUGCUAAUGAAACAGGGAGAUUCUAUGCUUAAAGGUAGAUACUUUAUUGAUCCCAAAGGAAUUACAAUGUCACAGCAGAUAUACAAGUAAUGCAAAUAUUUGAAAAGAAGUAAGAAAGAAUAAAACAUAAGUUAUCUCAAGCAAUCUAACAGGAGGGAAUCAUCACUUCUCGGCUAUAGGUUGACUCAUUAUAGACCCUAAUGGCCGAGGGUAAGAAGACCUCAUAUAACGCCAUAUGGAGCAGCGCAGUUAUCUUAGUCUGUUACUGAAAGUGUUCCUCUGUUCAGCCAAGGUGGCAUGCAGAGGGUGAGAAACAUUGUUUGAAAUUGCCAGGAUUUUCCGUAGUGUCCUUUGUUCUACCACAGCCUCCAGUGUUUGACUCGUAUAGCAAAUACAGUCAAUGAAUGCUGCCUGGCCUGCUGAGUUCCUCCAGCAUUUUGUUUGUGUUGUUCAGACUUCCAGCAUCUGCAGAUUUCCUCUUGCUUGUCCUAAAACAGAUUCAGCCUUUCUAAUCAGUUUAUUGAGCCUGUUGGCAUCACCCAUGUUGAUGCCAUUGUCCCAGCACACCACCACAUAGAAAAUUGUACUGGUGACAACAGGCAGGUAGAACACGUGAAGGAGAGUCCUCCACACUCCAAAGGACCUCAGUCUCCUCAGGAAGUAGAGGUGACUCUGGCCCUUCUUGUACACAACCUCUGGGUUGGUGCUCCACUCGAGUCUGUCAUCCAGGUGCAUCCCAGGUACCUGUAGGUCCUCACCAUCAACGGUAACAGGGAGCAGAGCAGGCUUUGUCUUCUGAAGGUCCAUCACCAUCUCCUUUGUGUACAUAAUAGGAUCCAAUGUAUCAGGCAAGCAACUCAGAAGAGCUGAUGGAACUAGGUUCCUGCAGAUCACAGCCUGGCCGAUCAUGCCAUCAGCUAAUCAGCUCACCCUCAUGGUUAAAUGAUUCAGCAUUUCUUGCUGAUUCCCAUCAGUAACACCAUCAAGGCUGGUAUUUUCGAAGUGAGAAUGGUUAAAGGCAACGUAUUAAGACUGCUUUCAAGACCAGUCUCUGAAACUAUCAUCCUUUUGCCUCUGAUCAAGUUUAACAUCCUACGGACGCCAGGCAGAGAGUGUUCCAGAGGUACAUUUCAUUUUGUAUGGACAUCAAUUCCUGUAUAUAAGCUGUCUUUUAUAGAGCUUCCUGUACAGCUUAGUUUUGGUUCUAUCUGAAACACAUGGUGGAAACACAUUCAUUUGCAUCCUCUGUUUAUUUGCCCUUGAAAUAGCAGUAUUGUAAGUCUUAAGUGUUCGUUAAUAUUGGUAAGCAUUUAGCAGACAUAUUUUGAAGGAAGAAUUAAGUUUUAUUGUGCAGUAUGUCAUUAUUAAGAUAUCAUUGUGCUAUGAAUUUACUCUUGUUUACACAGCAUAGUGAUGGAGCAUUGCAAAUGUGUAUUACCUUGGUUAACACUGAUUGUGGGAAUAAUUUACAAUAUUAGUAUAUUCAGGCAUGCAACAAUUCUGUAUUGAAUUUAAUUGUUAUUUUAUUAACUCUGCAGUUUUACAAGCAAGAUCACAUUAAAAACCCUGAAGAAAGUUUCCACCUCUUGUGAUUUUUGAGAAGUGGUUUAACUCGCUGCUUAGCUGUGCAGAUAUACACUGUGAAGGCAGUAGAUUCUCCUUUACCUUAUGCUUUUCUUUUUUGAAAUAAAUCUUUAUAAAAUUGUUUCUAUGCAGUCAUGUUGGUAGCUUUAACAACGAGUGCAAGUUGCUGACAAACUGUUGUUUUUUAAAUAACCCAAAUUUAAAAAUUCUCUUUUCAGACCAUCAUUCUCUGACAUGCUCUCCUCAGAUGAAAAUUGUAUUUCCACCCGUUUACAGUCUGGAGCUGGGGAUCAUUGGAAAGGGCAACUCACUUUCAUGGAGUGAGUAAUUUGGUGUGCUUGACACAAAAGGUUUAUCACACAACUGUCGCUGGCAAUGAGCAAACGUGUGUCGUCCUGCCCUUCAAAGAUGCAACUGAACUUUCCACCAUCAGAACGGAGAACAGAAGAAUUUGCCAGUGCUGUUAUCAUCUCAGAGGUAGUAUUAAGAAAUUACCCUGCUCAUUCCCACCCCUCUUGAUAUACGCAAAGGUUCUCCAACCACACCUGUGCAGACAAUUCUCUGUCGGUUGUUCAGUUUGCUUUCCACUUCUCCUUCCCUUCCCACCGGCGCUGAUGUUGUUUCAUGUGCUUAACAAAAACCACAGUCCUUCCAUUAUGAACAAAACAUAAGCAGUCGCCUUACACUGUCGUCAUUGUGUCAGGCGCGGUCUCAUAAAGAGAACACAACAACGCAGCGAUGGUGCUUGUGAAUUACGUAGAAGAGUUUCCAUUAUGAACAAUAUGCGUCAUCCGUUACCCAUUACAUUGCUCAACACAGGUCCUCCCAGAAUUGACCAAAACCAACAUUGUGAGUCUGCCUGGAGCUCGAUGAGCUGCCCGGCUCAGGUCCCGAGUGUUUUAGCUGGAGUCAUGGCAGAUGCUUCUGACUCAUCCAGGGCUAUGCUGAUAAACACAUGGUCAUGCCGUGAUGCAGGGGGUAUGCGAGUGAAACCGUCCAGAUCUUGAUGGGCUGAUUUAAGGCGAUCUUCAGAAAUACAUUCAGGUUUACCCUUCCUAUUGGCAUUUAGUGGGGUUAAUGAUCAGCCCAUGUUGGCUUAUGUGCUUGAAAAGUGCCACAACCACGGAUUCAGCAGUGCAGUAGAUACGGCAAUUACACUCGCGAACAUGCACGUGUCAGCUAAUUAUUAUUUUAUUGUGAUAGUAUUUAAUUCCAUUCAUCCCGUUGCAGUGCUUGUCGAGACUGGGACAUAGCUAUGUUUCAUUAUCUGCAUUCCGCCUUGCCUGAGAAAUUGGACUGUCGAGUCAACUGACUCUGAAAACCAGCGGUAUUCGUUUAACUGUUAGUUGUUCUUUUCAGCCGCAGUGUAGGCUUCAUUGUCCAUUUGAGUGUUUUAGUCCUGUUUGGCCUAGUGUUUACUGUUUUCUUUUCCCUUUAUUGCUGUUCGCAUUAAAGUCUGAACUAUCAACCUAUCUCAGUGUCUCUCACUCUGUACUUGGGCCAUAUCCAAACCUGGUGACAGAAAAGUUUGCAGAGAUGGGAUAAGUGUUUUCGAUGCACUGUGGCAAGUAUGUCUUCCAGUUAUGCAAAAUUAAAAUCUAAUUUUUUUUAACACAGAGUCCAUUAGUCGUUGGUAAAUCUUGUUGCAUUGUUCAAUCCAGAUGGC